GCUUACGGCCACACGGCCUGGUUCACGCCGGAUCUCGUUUGAUCUCGGAAGCUAAGAUAGGUUGGGCCUGGUUAGUACUUUGAUGGGAGACCGCCUGGGAAUACCAGGUGCUGUAAGCU
rnacentral:rRNA from 1 species